UCCCUGGUGGUCCAGUGGAUAAGACUUUGCACUCCCACUGCAGAGGACCUGGCUUCAAUCCCCGGUCAGGGAA